GAUGAACGCUGGCGGCGUGCCUAAUACAUGCAAGUCGAGCGAACGGACGAGAAGCUUGCUUUUCUGAUGUUAGCGGCGGACGGGUGAGUAACACGUGGAUAACCUACCUAUAAGACUGGGAUAACUUCGGGAAACCGGAGCUAAUACCGGAUAAUAUUUUGAACCGCAUGGUUCAAAAGUGAAAGACGGUCUUGCUGUCCCUUAUAGAUGGAUCCGCGCUGCAUUAGCUAGUUGGUAAGGUAACGGCUUACCAAGGCAACGAUGCAUAGCCGACCUGAGAGGGUGAUCGGCCACACUGGAACUGAGACCCGGUCCAGACUCCUACGGGAGGCAGCAGUAGGGAAUCUUCCGCAAUGGGCGAAAGCCUGACGGAGCAACGCCGCGUGAGUGAUGAAGGUCUUCGGAUCGUAAAACUCUGUUAUUAGGGAAGAACAUAUGUGUAAGUAACUGUGCACAUCUUGACGGUACCUAAUCAGAAAGCCACGGCUAACUACGUG
rnacentral:rRNA from 1 species